GAACACAAAAUGGCGACACGUGGUUAGCAUUCGUCGCCAACGAGAAAUUGGGGUCGGCCCGAAAGCUCUAGAAUGCACCCCUAUUCCUCCCCGGGGCCAUUCCCGCUCAACGAGUUUUAUGACCUAAAAAACCCCACAGGCUGGUCUGAAGGUCGGAGGCCUAAUUUUAACGCGUUUUCCUCCCUUUAAUUUGAAACGGGAACGCGAAUAACUAAAAUAUUUGGUAGCAUGGGCUGUUGUGCUGGAGAGAACGAGAGCUACGAAGAGACUAGAAUGCCUCUGACUUUUUCAUAGGACAGUUGGCCGAGGAAGACACUUAAAGAUGAAGUGCUUAAUUCAAGGUCACAGAAUGUCGGGGAUGG
rnacentral:antisense_RNA from 1 species